rnacentral:lncRNA from 1 species
UUGGCUGUUUCUCUAAUGUUUAUAAAAAAUAACUGUGUAGAAAUAUGUUCAUAUCCUGAAGAAAAGAACAUCGGAAGAUUGUCAUUUACCGAAACUGUACUUUUAUACUUCAAGACUGGCUGUUUUUUUACUUGAUUCCAAGAAUAUAUUAUGACAAAGGAUUAAAGUGUGUCUAUGAAUACUGCAUUUCGUUAAUUUAGUGCUCCAACCAAUUAAGCAAUUUUCAUUUGUUUUUAGAUGUGCAUGGAACAAUAUUUUUUAUCCAAGAGAU